GUCGGGUUUCGGGCUGAGGAAGGGCUGGGGAAGGCGGGAAAAUGGAAAGGCCUCGCCCGUCCCGGAAGGACCUAUAGGAGUGCAGCAGUGCGCGGCGCGACUGCUGAGUGGCCGAGGUGGUGUGGGGGCGGGGCGAGAUGAGGCGGGACGAGCGUGGCGGUCUGGCUGGGGCGACCCGCGGAGGCUGCGGUGGGACUGUAGCGACGACCGCAACAGCGCGAGCUUCAGUGGGUUUCUUCAAGAGCUUUCCGCCAUUGACCAGGCUUUGAAAGCGCUUUACGAACGCUUCCAGCCGGGAUCCAAUACAACUACCAGCACAAACAGAAAAACCAAGUGGAGCAAAAAGGAAACACAUAUUUUCGAUCUAUUUCUUGUCAGGAAGCAAUUAAAGAGACAGAGCACAUCCCUGAGCACUGUCAAGGCUCCUCCCAGGAAUCACAUUCGGCAUCUCAACAGCAAGCUGCUGUAGCUUUGAACUGUGUCUGUGAGUACCUGUGCUUUAUCUUGAUUCAUUUUGUGCAUGCAUGAGCAAGAUGUGUCCUAAGGUAACUGCUUCUUCAAUUUACACCAUCUUGGCUUUGAAAGGUUUCAUAGAAACAUUCUACUUCCCCAAAGCAGAGGAAACCUAUAUACAGCCCAGACUAAGGACCACUUGAGGGAUCACCAGAAUCACCUGGAGAGCUUGUUAAACCACGGAUUGCUGGGCUCUACCCGCAGAGUGUCUGAUUCAGUAGGUUUAGGGCCCAAGAAUUCGAAUUUUUAACCAGCUCCCAGGUAAUAUUGAUGUGCUGGCCCAGAAUAGAAUAGAACAAACUAAAAAAGGGAUAUCUCAUUCAGCUAUGAACAACCCAAUCUUCCUUCUUUUUUAUCUUCAUAAUUGGACCCAGGGAUGGACUUAGGAGUAAAUAUAACACUAGUAGAUAUUUUAAUAUAUACUCCCCUAUGCCCCCAAAAAGAAUUUGAGGUGUUAAUAUGAUUUAAAUAGAAAUCAAAAAAGUUCUCUGGUAAUUACUAAUUCACUAUUUUGGUUAUUAAAACUCAUCAAGGCCUUUAUUACAAAUAAUGCAAAUUUUCUUCUUGAGGAAAAAGAGCCCUGAGCUUGGUGGGGGAAAGGAAGUAGUGGAGGCAGAGUAGGAUGGGGGCAUGCAAUGUUACUGACUUAAUAGUCACUGAGAACUGCCUGGGUUUUGACCUCAAGUUGUCUCUUGAAACUUGACAGUCCAGGAAUCCUGUCUUCAGUCACUGGAUGUUCUGGUCCUUAUCUCCACCUGUCGCCACACCUGCGCUAUCAUACUCUCAACACCCACCCCCCUGCCAAACUGAGAUUGUACUACAAUCUCUUUUUUUUUUCUCCUGUUCAAGUUCCUCUGUGAGCAACACUUUGCCUUUCUGGGUCUCAGCUGUGUCAUCUCUAAAGUGGGGAAAGGAGUAUGGGGCAACAGCACAACAGGGCCAACUUGGAUAUUCGGUGACUUGAUUUUCAUGGCUUUGGGGCAAAAAGGCUGGCAAACCUCAGUUCUUCUCUGGGGCCCCAAGCCUUGGAAAGGGACUAAAGGAAAGUUAGUUGGCUCCUCCUCAUUUGCCUUAUGAUGUCAGUCCAGAGAAAAGAAACCUGGACUGAGAUUAGGAGUCCUAGGUAUCAACUGAAAAACAAACAAACAAAUAAAACAAAACAAAAACAAACCCCAAAACACACACAACUUAAAUGUUAAGUUUUAUUCUGGGGCCUUACUAAGGACUAUGGCCUGGUAGACUGCCUCUCAGAUAUCUCUGAGGAACUGUUGCAAAAGGUAAAGGAGGAGCCAAAACAUAUAUGAGUUUUCCUGACAACAACAAAAAACCCAUGUAGUUAAACAUCAAAAGACUGUUAGUUACAAAAAAGCAGACAUCUCAAGGUAAUGAUUUCAGUGCUUUUCUAUGCAUGGGAAGAUGCAAUAGUCUGGGCUUAUUGAAACUAUUCUUUUGAUAAGCAUUUAACUAGGGCCAGUAUCUUGUUUUUCUUCAUCCUAAAUUCCCCUCAGAAGACAAGGUAGGGC
rnacentral:lncRNA from 1 species